rnacentral:rRNA from 1 species
CUACGGGUUGCAGCAGUGGGGAAUUUUGCGCAAUGGGGGAAACCCUGACGCAGCAAUACCGCGUGAGUGAAGAAGGCCUUUGGGCCGUAAAGCUCUUUUCUUGGGGAAGAUAGUGACGGUACCCAAGGAAUAAGCACCGGCUAACUCCGUGCCAGCAGCCGCGGUAAUACGGAGGGUGCAAGCGUUGUCCGGAUUUACUGGGCGUAAAGGGCACGUAGGCGGCACAGCAAGUUAAGGGUGAAAUCCCGGGGCUCAACUCCGGAACUGCUCUUAAAACUGCUGAGCUAGAGAUAGUCAGAGGCGGGUGGAAUUCCAGGUGUAGAGGUGAUAUUCGUAGAUAUCUGGAGGAACACCGGUGGCGAAGGCGGCCCGCUGGGGCUAUUCUGACGCUAAGGUGCGAAAGCGUGGGGAGCAAACGGGAUUAUAUACCCCCGUAGUC